AACAAAACACACUCUUCGAUUCAUCACAAGAUACCAUUGAUUAAUACAUUCAUUCAAGCAUAUAUACAAGAUUCAUUAUUUGCUACACUCAAGUCAGCUACAACCAAUAAGGAAAUAAGUAAGUCAACAUACAAGACGUUGUCUAUUACAAAAUAUGACGGCUAAGCUCCUAAGAGACCCAAUUGUUCGAUCACUUGACUACUACAAGAUAAUAAGGAAGAGACCAAAUACCUUCGAUCACCGAGCUGACCUCAACUUCCAUAUCCACGAAAUGUGUCAAACAUGCUAUGAACAAAACCGAUCAUCAGAACAUCUUGUAUCAACUUGUGGACGUGCCAUUGUCACUGCAAAAGAACUUAAAUGUUUGAGCAAUCUUAUAAAGGAGAAUUUGUUCAAAUUUGUAAGUUGCCCUUGAUCCCAAAGAUCUAAAAACUGAAGAUGUACUACAAAUAGUUUGUUACAGAAGAUAUCCUUAAUAAAGCAUCAACAAAAGUCAGGCUAGCAACUAGCAUAUCACAUGCCUUAAUAGAAAAUUUAUGGGCUCAUUGACUUAGAUCUGUUAAAAGGCAUAACGAAUAAGGUUCUUAUUGUAACUUUACAGAUUUGUAUUUGAAGUUCCUCAACCAACAAAUAAUCAGAUAUGCACUUGUACAUGUACCAGCAGUCAUAAACGUGGUAGCAGGAAGUGCACUUGGUGAAAAAAGGCAUUUCGAAGACCAUAUGCUUGCACAUGCAUCUUGGUUUAACAGAUGCACUCUAGUUAGGCAUUGUCUAGUGUGAGUAAUUGCUAGGAUGAUCUUUACACAAUUUAUAAUAAAUCAUGCCUGCCAUUUACUAUGUGCUCUGGGUUCAUCUAUAGUCCAUUUAAUUACUACAUGCGCUCACUUCAUCUACAAGCCACUAAACUAUUCACGGACCUAGCAUAAUUAUUGAUAUCCAUUGGUAAGCAAAUCUGAUUCAGAAUCUAAACUCGGAUGAAUCUAUUUAGAAAAUGUAAGAAAGAUACCUAGCAAGUAAAUGGUGUUACAUCUUCCAUCACGACAAGAAAGAACAAAUGGUUAGAGCAUGCACGACUGUAAGAAAGGACAUCCACCCAUCAGUUGAGCUAAGAAGUUGCCCUGCUGAAAAUUAUGUGCACCAGUUUAAGGCGAACAUCUAAGAAGUAUAAAAUAAAUGGGACACAUUGCUAGCAGUAAAACAAAAUCACGUAUAUGCAUAGUGCAGGGAUGCCUCAGUUGGAACAAGGCAUGACUCAAGUUUGGUGCACAAAUCAAUAUUUACAAUGAACAAGCGGAUAAAAUAGAUCCUUAAAGAAUAGGACCUCCUACCUAAAUAUAUAUAUAGAAGUCCACGAACAAUUUUUAUGUGCAUGUUUAUCGAUGAAACCUUGUUACGAAGCUGUAUUUGGUCUGGACACACGGUGAGAAGGAAGAUGUUCCCGUGACAUGGUUUGUGAUGUGAUGCUGUUCGAUGAGCUUGAUGAUGCCAUUCACAGGACUGUUCUUCACGAUCACCAGCAUUUCAGCUUGCAUAUGUAAGUUCAUUUUUUGUUUCUUUUUGUGAAUCGACGAGAAGUGAAUAUAUGCGGCAUGAUUUUCAGAAUGGAAUUGGUUAAGCUGACCUUGAGAGAAACUCCACAGAAAUGGAGGUAGUGGUUCAAAAGUGUGUUCAUCCCCUCCUCGGUCUUCCUGUAUGCCUUGAGCUCAUUCUGAAGCUGGCUUGGAUCAACCUUUCAUAAUCCUGCGGCACGAGAGUUGAACGCAUUAGUUGAUAUAUAGAUAGAUAGAAGCGCGUGACUAAAAUUCCGAAACAGAAGUAGCAUCAAUACAAGUAGUACAAAAAAAACAUUUAAUUGGUGUAUCAUUAAUUACUUUGUUGUGCAAAUUAAUUGGCAGAGUUUGGAGCUUUUACGGAUCAUGAUUCUGUGGGCGGGUUGAUGGACAUGCAGCAGGACAAAAAAGAAGGUAACAUUAGCCCCUCCCUCAGCAGCCUCGCGCUCGGAGGAAAGGAGCUCCCCAUAGACACAAUAGCAAUAGAUCCGGUGACCCUACUGGAUCCGGUUGGAGGAGUGGAGCAUGGAGACGGCGACGCACAUGGAGGAGUGGAUGAGGAUGAAUGUCAUGGAAUAUAAUUCAAAUAAGACACACCAUGGACAUCUUGCCAGAGAAGAGCAUAAAUCGUUGCCACAUGGUGACUAGGCGAAUUAAAUAAGUAUAACGGGUUGCCUUCAUAGAAAAUUAGAGAGGUUGAUCACAAUCGCCUACCAUAUAUGUUUGUACCAUUCUUUAAUAGUAUCCAUGUACAAAUCAGCCAAGCACCACCCACGAAAGACAUGGCCUUAUCCAGCGGCACAUACGAGCUAUAGGUUGGUC
rnacentral:lncRNA from 1 species